AACGAACGCUGGCGGCAUGCCUAACACAUGCAAGUCGAACGAGACCUUCGGGACUAGUGGCGCACGGGUGCGUAACGCGUGGGAACCUGCCCUUAGGUUCGGAAUAACUCUCCGACAGGGGUGCUAACACCGGAUAAUGUCUUCGGACCAAAGAUUUAUCGCCUUUGGAUGGGCCCGCGUUGGAUUAGCUAGUUGGUAGGGUAAAAGCCUACCAAGGCGACGAUCCAUAGCUGGUCUGAGAGGAUGAUCAGCCACACUGGGACUGAGACACGGCCCAGACUCCUACGGGAGGCAGCAGUGGGGAAUAUUGGACAAUGGGCGAAAGCCUGAUCCAGCAAUGCCGCGUGAGUGAUGAAGGCCUUAGGGUUGUAAAGCUCAUUUACCCGGGAUGAUAAUGACAGUACCGGGAGAAUAAGCUCCGGCUAACUCCGUG
rnacentral:rRNA from 1 species